CGUCGGCAGCGCUUGGUGAGAAGGCAGUGGAGAGACAUGCAGGCUUCAUACGUGUGGAGGCUUUUCUGUCUAAAAAUGGAGUGCAGUGCAGAUGACCCUACAUGAUCAGGUAGCUUUGGCUGACAUGGAAUAAUGAUCACCUUCCUCCACUCAAAGGGCGAACUUUUUUCAUCGUGAAAGACAGGUUCCCUGGUCUUUCAGUCCUAGUAUUGGCCGUAAGAAUUGGGGAGACCUCGUAAAAAUGGGUUAUACCAAACCCAAUGUCUUGGCUGACAUGGAAUAAUGAUCACCUUCCUCCCCUCCAAGGGCGACGUUUUUUCAUCGUGAAAGACAGGUUCCCUGGUCUUUCCGUCCUAGCAUUGGCCGUGAGAAGUGGGGAGACCUCGUAAAAAUGGUCUAGUGAACUGCAAAGCAACACUAUAAGGCACGUGGGCAGUGAGAUGACAUGAACAGGUAAAUGCUGGAGGAUUGACAAAAGUUGAUGAGUCAAGUCAGUGAUGAUAAAAGUUAUCCCUGUCUGAACAUUUAGUGUGGAGUCAUGGUAACCUGAGACUUGACUAGAGAUGCAGCAUGAAUAGUAUUUGUUGUAUUUUAGAGGUCAAAUGAUCAGAAAUGUAAUGCUUC